UACGUAGGGAGCGAGCGUUAUCCGGAUUUAUUGGGUGUAAAGGGUGCGUAGACGGGCAUGCAAGUUGGUUGUGAAAUCCCUCGGCUUAACUGAGGAACUGCAACCAAAACUGUGUGUCUUGAGUACAGGAGAGGUAAGUGGAAUUCCUAGUGUAGCGGUGAAAUGCGUAGAUAUUAGGAGGAACACCAGUGGCGAAGGCGACUUACUGGACUGAAACUGACGUUGAGGCACGAAAGUGUGGGGAGCAA
rnacentral:rRNA from 1 species